rnacentral:rRNA from 1 species
UGGGGAAUUUUGGACAAUGGGCGAAAGCCUGAUCCAGCAAUGCCGCGUGUGUGAAGAAGGCCUUCGGGUUGUAAAGCACUUUUGUCCGGAAAGAAAUCCUUGGCUCCAAUACAGUCGGGGGAUGACGGUACCGGAAGAAUAAGCACCGGCUAACUACGUGCCAGCAGCCGCGGUAAUACGUAGGGUGCAAGCGUUAAUCGGAAUUACUGGGCGUAAAGCGUGCGCAGGCGGUUUGCUAAGACCGAUGUGAAAUCCCCGGGCUCAACCUGGGAACUGCAUUGGUGACUGGCAGGCUAGAGUAUGGCAGAGGGGGGUAGAAUUCCACGUGUAGCAGUGAAAUGCGUAGAGAUGUGGAGGAAUACCGAUGGCGAAGGCAGCCCCCUGGGCCAAUACUGACGCUCAUGCACGAAAGCGUGGGGAGCAAACAGGAUUAGAUACCCUGGUAGUCCACGCCCUAAACGAUGUCAACUAGUUGUUGGGGAUUCAUUUCCUUAGUAACGUAGCUAACGCGUGAAGUUGACCGCCUGGGGAGUACGGUCGC